CUCGAACUUCAACUUCGAGGGAAUCAGAGGUUGAUGAGCAACUAAGACAACAACAACAACAAGUUCAACAACUAUCUCAACAAGUUCAGAUGAUGCAGGGAAUGCUGAUGCAGAUGUAUAGUGCUCAGAUGGGAUCUCAAAUGGGACCCCAGUUCACCCGUCCGUCACAAUCUGGAUAGACCCCAAACACCAAUGAAAC